rnacentral:rRNA from 1 species
CAGCAGCCACGGUAAUACGAAGGGGGCUAGCGUUGUUCGGAUUUACUGGGCGUAAAGGGCGCGUAGGCGGACUGAUAAGUCAGGGGUGAAAUCCCAAGGCUCAACCUUGGAACUGCCUUUGAUACUGUUUGUCUUGAGUUCGAGAGAGGUAAGUGGAACUGCGAGUGUAGAGGUGAAAUUCGUAGAUAUUCGCAAGAACACCAGUGGCGAAGGCGGCUUACUGGCUCGAAACUGACGCUGAGGCGCGAAAGCGUGGGGAGCAAACAAGAUUAGAUACCCCGUUAGUCCCUGUCUCUUAUAA